AGUAAAUUAAAAUUAUAUACAACUAAUUGCUGAGUGGAUUGCAUGUGGAUUAACUCAAUGUUUUGGGCAUAUAUUGGAUUAUAUUAAAUUAAUGACAUCGUGGUAAUGAAGUCAAGAAAGAUGAGGACAGUGUGAAGGGGAGACGGACAACCCACCAGAGACAACUCGGCUACAGAGAGACCUGAUAUUCCUAACUAUGGAAAAUUUUACCGAAAUCACAGACUCCACCGAAAACGUAUUUCCCUGCCUUAUCUGUGAUGAAAACUUUCCAUCAGGGCCCAGUUUGGAAAAGCAUAUGUUUUUGCACAUUAAUGAUGGAACUGGAGAUUUAUGCGAAUAUGCAACCAACAACAUUGUGGGAAAUAGUCAGCUUACCAACUCCUGAGAAGCGUUACGGAAAAGACAUUAUCAGUAAAACUUCUUUACAAAGAGGUGGCGAAGAAAAAUGUCGAGAAAGGGGUUUGAGUGAUGAAGCUGAAACUGGAAAAUCAGUUGUGUGCGAUUGAAUGUUACCAGGGUCAAAUUUACAAACCAGCAGUAGAGAUGAAACCUUUGUUUGUCAAUAAUGUGGAAAGAAUUUCAAAUCAGAGUGGCAUUUAAAUGUGCAUAAGCGAACUGGUGAGAAACCUUAUGUUUGUAAACAAUGCGGAAAGUGGUUUUCGUAAUCAUCUCAUUUACAAGAGCAUAAGCGAACUCAUACAGGAACAAAACCUUAUGUUUGCAAACAAUAUGGGAAGUGUUUUUCACGAUUAUCUCAUUUACAUAGGCAUGAGCGAAUUCAUAUUGGAGAGAAGCCUUAUGUUUGCAAACAAUGUGAAAAGGGUUUUUCA